GGGUAUAGCUCAGCUGGUUAGAGCGCUUGCUUGACAUGCAAGAGGUCACUGGUUCGAAUCCAGUUAUCCUC
rnacentral:tRNA from 1 species